ACAAAAAUUGCCAAAAUUUUUGGCCUGCGAAAUUUGUGUGUAUAUGUGUGCGGUAAGACAAAAUGCUGCCUCUUCUAGAUUACCACAGAGUAUUUGCAUGUACACCAAUCAGACAUAACAUCACGACCACCUGCCUAAUACUGUGCUGCUAACACUCCUCUGACCCAGUGGUUCAUGGACUCAGGACCUCUGGGGAUGUCCUGUGGCACCGGGAUGGUGGCAGUGAAUUCUGUAGGUCCUGUGGGUUGCAGAGUGGGACCUACCUAGAUCAGGGGCCUAUUUUACGAAGCAGGUUUAGGGAAAACUCUGAGUUUGUUAACCCUGAAAUGAGGGAAACUCAGAGUUUUCUGUUUCACGAAGCAAGGUAACUCUAACCAGGGAAUGCGGGGUAACUCUAGCCUGUUUCACAAAGAGGGGUAACUUCAACUCUCAGUCAGUUACCGCAGUAACAGACUCUAUGACUCUAACCUGCUCGCCAGCAGGUUUAUCUGAGAAAACCUCGAGUUUCUCUCCGUCUCCACCCACUUUCAGCCACACACGCUGUUUCAUUUCCUCAUUCAUUCAGUCAGUAAGCGAGCGAGUUUUGGCGUAGAACAGGUUUUAUUAACGAUCCAGUGGAUAAAGGAGCAGCGUUACUGCACAGAUAGUUAAAUAUUCGUCGGUAGAUUGUUAUCAGACCGAGCAUAAAUGUUCUCGCAUUUCCGGACAAUUAUCGGUUUGAGCGGUACCGUUUCGUAAUCGUUUCAAGUCCAUAAUCUACAUAAACAACCUAAUCCGUCCUUACAUUUACAUUACCAGCCGCAGUCAUGCUCUCACAUCCAGCAGAUAUUUUGUGUGUUGCGCUGUGGUUCUUUGCAAGUGGAAGUUUUUAUAUGAUGUCAGAGAUGCAGAGUAAGACAACUGUAUGCAGGACAGUCAGAAAAGAUUUCCUGGCUCUGAAACGACUUUUACUCGUCAUUGUGGUUUUUCCUGGACAUAAACCUGUCAAAGCAUCAAGGAGGAUCCAUGGGAUUGCAGGUGAAUGAUGUAGAGAUCUUUUAAAUUCAUUUUAAAUCAUAUUCUGUUAAUGACAUUGUGCUGCAGCCUCAGACUGGGAUUAGUCAUUUUAAUUUCUUUUAGGAUUUCCCAGUGUGAUUGGCUGCAUAGAUGCACACACAUCCCCAUCACAGCUCCCUCACAUCAUGAACAGGAAGUCCAUUCACAGCAUAAAUGUGCAGAUCAAAUGUGAUGCUGCAUACAUCAUUUCUAAUGUGGAGGCCACGUGGUCUGGGUCUGUUCAUGACUCCAGGAUUUAUGGAGAGUCUAACCUGAGCAACAGACUGCAGCGUGGAGAGUUUGAUGGCCUUCUGCUGGGUGACAGGAGUUACCAUAACAACCCAGGCUGAUGACCUCAUACCCUGACCCUGAACCAGGCCCCCAACAGAACGUCAACCGGACUCACUGCAGGACCAGAGCCCGGGUGGAGAUGACCAUAGGCCUGCUGAAAGCCCGUUUCCAGAGCCUACGUCUCCUCAGGGUGACCCCUGAGAGGGCCUGUGAUAUUACUGUGGCAUGUGUUGUUCUUCAUAAUAUUACCACUAUUAGAGGAGAGAAACACCCUGCCCUAAAAACUGAAGACCCAGAUGAUGAGCCCAUCCACCUGCAGCUAUCCAGGACAGCAGAGCAGUCAGAGACACCGUAUGCAAUAAUCACUUUAGAGUUUAAGUCACCAUCAUCACCACCACAGCAAAUAAAGACAUGAUACACAUUUCAUUUGCUCUUCUUUAUUCCCUACAAAUAAAAGAGAUAGUUCAGUUCAUGUUCCAGUAGUUAACAUAAUUCACCUGUGACCAUCACCACCUCUAACUUCUGUUAUCUCAAAGUCCAGAUCUGCCCUCCUAAUCUGUUUUUUGGAUUUUUCUCAGCAAAUGCAGUUUGUAAAUCUGUUUUACUGAUAACUGGGAAUACAUAGAGGACAUUAAAUUAUACAGUUGCACAUGAAUUCCACAGAAUGAAGCUCUGGUGUUUCCUGAACAUCCAUCUCACUGUGUCAGUCUGUGCAGUGGAAGUUGAGGAACCAUCCUGCUGCUGUCCAGCCAUGUUCUGUUAAAAGGAUGAGAAUGUGCAACACUUCAGUGUAGGCUAAAUGUCACACUCUAUAUUCCAGAGUUCAUUUGCAAAAACAGAUAACUCCGUUUUGGUAAAUUUUCAGAAAACUUUUUUUUAUUGUUUACUUGAGAUAAUAUCAAUCAAACUGAAGUUGAGUGGAUUUGACUCAGUCGAAAAAUGCAUGACAAAAUAGAGAUAAAUAAAUUAUUAGUGUUAUUAUUAUUAUUAUCUCAAGUAAACAAUAAAAAAAAUAGUUUUCCCUGUUUUUGCAAAUGAACUCUUCAUGUGUUCCAGCUACAGCUCAGACAAGACUGGUGCCACUUCAAAGUCAUUUAAGAACCUGCAGUUAAGCUGCAUUCAGCAGUUUUGACCAUGAGAUAGAUUUGAAAACACUCGCAGUAACGAGCUUUAAUGUACUGAAGGAUUACUGAGUUGUUGUUAGGUCCAGUGUCUUACUGCUAAGUUUCCAUUAUGCACAUUCAGCAUAAAGUACUGACAAAAGAAGACAAAAGCUGUCUUUUGUCAAAAAGGGGUAUGAACUAUUUUUAACAUUACAGUGUUGCCAUUGAUGUCCUCGUCUUGUUUGUCAUUUGUUUAUGUUGCUUUUGUCAGCCAUAAGAAAAAUAUUGAUGAGAUUUGAAAAUAAAAUCACGAGAAAUCAAAAUUUGGUAUAUGGUCAGCAUUAAUAGUCUACUCUAUAACCUUAAGUCUGAACACCCCUUCAGAAUUGUAUCCAAAAUUGCUUUCUCUCAUCCUAGAAAUAUGGCAGAGUUGAGGCCAUUUCUCACUCCGGUGAACAUUGAAAAUGUAAUGCAUGCUUUUAUCACCAGCAGGCUACCUACCUCCUCUUUAAAGACUGUAAAAAAACAAAACAAAACUGUGAGCUUGUUCUAAAGGCUGCUCUGACAGUUUAAACACUGACAAAAAGGUGAAUAAUGCCUCUUUGAAAUAGAGAUAAAUAAAGUAAAUCUCUUGGUUGUUACCAUGUCACCAAUCUGAUUGUUCUUCUGUACUUAAAUCAACCCAAAACAUCUUACUGGAGGGGGUUUUAGGAUAUGCCUCACACAUAAACAAAAUGUCAGGCUCUCUAAUUACUUUCUGUUAUCCAAAAUACAGACUACACCAUGAAAGUAUUCAUUUAAAUGAUUAUUUGUGGUCCUGUUUUAAUUGCUUUUAACUCAUUCCGAUUUUUAAAUUUGAUUGUUAACCACGCCUGACGUACGUCAGCGGGGUUACUGCAUUCGCUUCGGUAUCUGUCUGGGUAAGUAUGUAUGCGGGUGGGUAUGUCCGGUCAGAUAUCUCUGCAAGUGCUGAAGUCAGGAUAAUCAAACUUGGCACUGAAGAUCAGUCUAAGGUCCCCUGCUCAGUUGUGGAGUUAGAGGUCAGCAGAUCAAGUAGGAAGGGAUAUACGUAGGAUGAUCAAAAUUGAUACAGAGUAUCAUGCAUGGGCGUGGUUCUGCCAUGUACUUAUGGCUUGUCUAAUUAAGACUGCUUUUAUAUAUAUAUAUUACACAUUUAUUUAAAACCACAGUGUUACUCUAAAAUGCAUUAGAAAUUAAAGGCAUUAUUAUUUAUUUAUUAAAUGAAUUUUAGUAAGUUUUGGUCUCAGGCUGACAAGUAAGUUUCAGUGGAAGAUUGCUGCCACUUCUCCGCCCUUACUUAGAUAGAUAGAUAGAUACUUUAUUAAUCUCCAAAGAGAAAUUCACAAUACCAGCAGCAUGAAAGGCCAGCCCGAUCUCACGAGGAUUCGUGAAACUGUCACGUAAAUUUUUGUUUCGGCUUCGUGCGCACCAACACGAUUUCGUCAUGUUUUUCGUGCCGCUCACCACGGAAUGCACACCAAUGUAUUUUAAACGGCGGACUUUUCGUGCCACUCAGAACGUAUUUCAAAAGAAUGUGUAUAUUAUAUUUUUAAUGUAAAACCGCGGCGAAUCCAACGCUAUAUUUUGCAUGACAUCGUCCCUAAACAUAACCCUAACCAUAACCAUAAC